GAUGAACGCUGGCGGCGUGCCUAAUACAUGCAAGUCGAGCGAACGGACGAGAAGCUUGCUUUUCUGAUGUUGGCGGCGGACGGGUGAGUAACACGUGGAUAACCUACCUAUAAGACUGGGAUAACUUCGGGAAACCGGAGCUAAUACCGGAUAAUAUUUUGAACCGCAUGGUUCAAAAGUGAAAGACGGUCUUGCUGCCACUUAUAGAUGGAUCCGCGCUGCAUUAGCUAGUUGGUAAGGUAACGGCUUACCAAGGCAACGAUGCAUAGCCGACCUGAGAGGGUGAUCGGCCACACUGGAACUGAGACACGGUCCAGACUCCUACGGGAGGCAGCAGUAGGGAAUCUUCCGCAAUGGGCGAAAGCCUGACGGAGCAACGCCGCGUGAGUGAUGAAGGUCUUCGGAUCGUAAAACUCUGUUAUUAGGGAAGAACAUAUGUGUAAGUAACUGUGCACAUCUUGACGGUACCUAAUCAGAAAGCCACGGCUAACUACGUG
rnacentral:rRNA from 1 species